GACGAACGCUGGCGGCGUGCUUAACACAUGCAAGUCGAACGGAAAGGCCUCUUUCGGGGGGUACUCGAGUGGCGAACGGGUGAGUAACACGUGAGUAACCUGCCCUUGACUUUGGGAUAACUUCAGGAAACUGGGGCUAAUACCGGAUAGGAGCUCCUGCUGCAUGGUGGGGGUUGGAAAGUUUCGGCGGUUGGGGAUGGACUCGCGGCUUAUCAGCUUGUUGGUGGGGUAGUGGCUUACCAAGGCUUUGACGGGUAGCCGGCCUGAGAGGGUGACCGGCCACAUUGGGACUGAGAUACGGCCCAGACUCCUACGGGAGGCAGCAGUGGGGAAGAUUGCACAAGGGGUGGAGGCCUGAUGCAGCAACGCCGUGUGCGGGAUGACGGCCUUCGGGUUGUAAACCGCUUUCGCUCAUGACGAAGCUUUGUGUGACGGUAGUGGGUAAAGAAGCACCGGCUAACUACGUG
rnacentral:rRNA from 1 species